GGUUAAGUGACUAAGCGUACAUGGUGGAUGCCUUGGCAGUCAGAGGCGAUGAAGGACGUACUAACCUGCGAUAAGCUGUGAGAAGUCGGUAAGAGACGCUAUUACUCACAGAUUUCCGAAUGGGGAAACCCACCCAAGAUAACUUGGGUAUCGUUACAUGAAUAAAUAGUGUGACGAGGCGAACCGGGAGAACUGAAACAUCUAAGUACCCCGAGGAAAAGAAAUCAACCGAGAUUCCCUCAGUAGCGGCGAGCGAACGGGGAUUAGCCCUUAAGCAUCUUGGAAGUUAGUGGAACGGUCCUGGAAAGGCCGGCGAUACAGGGUGAUAGCCCCGUACACGAAAACAACCUUGAUGUGAAAUCGAGUAGGGCGGGACACGUGACAUCCUGUCUGAAUAUGGGGGGACCAUCCUCCAAGGCUAAAUACUCCUGACUGACCGAUAGUGAACCAGUACCGUGAGGGAAAGGCGAAAAGAACCCCUGUGAGGGGAGUGAAAUAGAACCUGAAACCGUGUACGUACAAGCAGUGGGAGCCCUUCGGGGUGACUGCGUACCUUUUGUAUAAUGGGUCAGCGACUUACAUUUUGUAGCGAGGUUAACCGUAUAGGGGAGCCGUAGGGAAACCGAGUCUUAACUGGGCGUCUAGUUGCAAGGUGUAGACCCGAAACCGGGUGAUCUAGCCAUGGGCAGGUUGAAGGUUGAGUAACAUCAACUGGAGGACCGAACCCACUAACGUUGCAAAGUUAGGGGAUGACCUGUGGCUGGGGGUGAAAGGCCAAUCAAACUCGGAGAUAGCUGGUUCUCCCCGAAAGCUAUUUAGGUAGCGCCUCGGACGAAUACUACUGGGGGUAGAGCACUGUUUGGGCUAGGGGGUCAUCCCGACUUACCAACCCCAUGCAAACUCCGAAUACCAGUAAGUAAUAUCCGGGAGACACACGGCGGGUGCUAACGUCCGUCGUGAAGAGGGAAACAACCCAGACCGCCGGCUAAGGUCCCAAAGUUCUGGUUAAGUGGGAAACGAUGUGGGAAGGCUCAGACAGCUAGGAUGUUGGCUUAGAAGCAGCCAUCAUUUAAAGAAAGCGUAAUAGCUCACUAGUCGAGUCGGCCUGCGCGGAAGAUGUAACGGGGCUCAAACCAGGCACCGAAGCCGCGGAUUCACACUUAUGUGUGAGUGGUAGGGGAGCGUUCUGUAAGUCUGCGAAGGUGUAUCGAGAGGUAUGCUGGAGAUAUCAGAAGUGCGAAUGCUGACGUAAGUAACGAUAAAGGGGGUGAAAAGCCUCCUCGCCGGAAGACCAAGGGUUCCUGUCCAACGUUAAUCGGGGCAGGGUGAGUCGACCCCUAAGGCGAGGCCGAAAGGCGUAGUCGAUGGGAAGCAGGUUAAUAUUCCUGCACGACUUGUAAUUGCGAUGGGGGGACGGAGAAGGCUAGGUGGGCCAGGCGACGGUUGUCCUGGUGAAAGUGCGUAGGUGGUGUUUCUAGGCAAAUCCGGAGACACAACACUGAGACACGAGACGAACACACUACGGUGUGGAAGCCAUUGAUGCCCUGCUUCCAGGAAAAGCCUCUAAGCUUCAGAUUACAAGUCAUCGUACCCCAAACCGACACAGGUGGUCGGGUAGAGAAUACCAAGGCGCUUGAGAGAACUCGGGUGAAGGAACUAGGCAAAAUAGAACCGUAACUUCGGGAGAAGGUUCGCUCUUGACAGUGAAGUCCCUUGCGGAUGGAGCAGUUGGGAGUCGCAGUGACCAGAUGGCUGGGACUGUUUAUCAAAAACACAGCACUCUGCAAACACGAAAGUGGACGUAUAGGGUGUGACACCUGCCCGGUGCCGGAAGGUUAAUUGAUGGGGUUAGCGCAAGCGAAGCUCUUGAUCGAAGCCCCGGUAAACGGCGGCCGUAACUAUAACGGUCCUAAGGUAGCGAAAUUCCUUGUCGGGUAAGUUCCGACCUGCACGAAUGGUGUAACCAUGGCCAUGCUGUCUCCACCCGAGACUCAGUGAAAUCGAAUUCGCCGUGAAGAUGCGGUGUACCCGCGGCUAGACGGAAAGACCCCGUGAACCUUUACUACAGCUUGGCACUGAACAUUGAACCUACAUGUGUAGGAUAGGUGGGAGGCUUUGAAGGCGUGACGCCAGUUGCGCUGGAGCCGUCCUUGAAAUACCACCCUUGUAUGUUUGAUGUUCUAACGCAGGGCCCUGAAUCGGGCUCGCGGACAGUGCCUGGUGGGUAGUUUGACUGGGGCGGUCUCCUCCCAAAGAGUAACGGAGGAGCACGAAGGUUGGCUAAUCCUGGUCGGACAUCAGGAGGUUAGUGCAAUGGCAUAAGCCAGCUUAACUGCGAGACGGACAGGUCGAGCAGGUACGAAAGUAGGUCAUAGUGAUCCGGUGGUUCUGAAUGGAAGGGCCAUCGCUCAACGGAUAAAAGGUACUCCGGGGAUAACAGGCUGAUACCGCCCAAGAGUUCAUAUCGACGGCGGUGUUUGGCACCUCGAUGUCGGCUCAUCACAUCCUGGGGCUGAAGUCGGUCCCAAGGGUAUGGCUGUUCGCCAUUUAAAGUGGUACGCGAGCUGGGUUCAGAACGUCGUGAGACAGUUCGGUCCCUAUCUGCCGUGGGCGUUGGAUGAUUGAAGGGAGUUGCUCCUAGUACGAGAGGACCGGAGUGAACGAACCUCUGGUGUUCGGGUUGUCACGCCAGUGGCACUGCCCGGUAGCUAAGUUCGGAAUCGAUAACCGCUGAAAGCAUCUAAGCGGGAAGCGAGCCCUGAGAUGAGUCAUCCCUGACCCCUUGAGGGUCCUAAAGGGCCGUUGGAGACCACAACGUUGAUAGGCGGGGUGUGUAAGUGCAGCGAUGCAUUGAGCUAACCCGUACUAAUUACCCGUGAGGCUUAACCAU
rnacentral:rRNA from 1 species